UUAUGGCCACAUCAUGAUGAAACACCGGCUCCCAUACAAUCACUGAAGUUAAGCAACAUCGAGCCUAGUCAGUACCUAGAUGGGUGACCUCUUAGGAAUAUCAGAUGCUGUG